rnacentral:lncRNA from 1 species
CCUUUUAUCCGCCCCCACUCAACCCUCAUACCUAUUCAUACCCUUCUUUGUUCUCUGCCCCCUCUCUCUUUUUCUAUCCCUCCGCCAUUCUCAGUACAUCUCCCUCCCCUCCUCGUUCCUAACCUCCCUCCCUCUCCUUCCGUCUCUCUAAUUAAUGCUGUUAUCAUCCCGCUCUCUCUCUCUCUAAGCUGUGCUUCGCUCCUACUCUUAUCAUCCCACUCUCUCUCUCUCUCUAAGGUGUGCUUCGCUCCUACUCUUAUCAUCCCACUCUCUCUCUCUCUCUCUCUCUUAGCUGUGCUUCGCUCCUACUGUUAUCAUCCCACUCUCUCUCUCUCUCUCUUAGCUGUGCUUCGCUCCUACUGUUAUCAUCCCACUCUCUCUCUCUCUAAGCUGUGCUUCGCUCCUACUGUUAUCAUCCCACUCUCUCUCUCUCUCUCUCUCUCUCUAAGCUGUGCUUCGCUCCUACUGUUAUCAUCCCACACUCUCUCUCUCUCUAAGCUGUGUUUCGCUCCUACUGUUAUCAUCCCACACUCUCUCUCUCUAAGCUGUGCUUCGCUCCUACUGUUAUCAUCCCACUCUCUCUCUCUAAGCUGUGCUUCACUCCUACUGUUAUCAUCCCACUCUCUCUCUCUCUCUCUCUCUAAGCUGUGCUUCGCUCCUACUCGUCAGUUAGCAGAGCCUUUAACUGCUCCAGCACCUUUGCCAAAGUCGAUGGGAAAGUUCCGCUCCAAUGUCUCUGUUGGUUCUAUACCUUUAUUUAUAUACAAUAGGAUAUUUGCAUACAGUACUUUACAAGCCAAUUACAGUGCAAUCUUUUCAGUUAUUUAUUGUUUAAAAAAUAAAAAAUUAAGAGACAAAUGUAAGUGUAGUUAUAAAUGUACUAAUUUGUUUUUUCUCUCAUAGCAUGUUAUAUUGUUAUUAUGAUCAUGUUUCAGUUUUUAUUGGAUGUUAUUUUAGAUGUUUGAUUUAAGGCCAGCAUUUCGUACUCUCAGUAGCCAAUUACAUAUCUCAUUUAUACUCUUACAGUUGUUGGGAAAACCUGUAGUUGUUUCAUUAUUCUGUAUGUCUGUAUCAGUGCCGUUUUUAACAUGGUAACCAAAUGUCUGUCCUUGUCAUCUCCUCUCUGACACACAGAACUGGCUCUUAUCCAUAGCCACGUGACCGUCACGUCAUAACACCAAUAAUGGUGGCUUUAGAAUUGUUCUGUCAUGAUUUCACGGUUAUGACCAGCCUGUGUGGUUUUCUGUAUGCAUUAAGAGAUGUAGCAAACCGUUAGCCAGGUUAUAUUGGUAAAGAUUUUAGACAGCUGGAGAGAACACACAGAGUGUCUUCAGAAACGUUACCUUUUCUGUUUUUAAGGUUAUGUUGGCGUCUGUAUUGGGAUUUAAGCACAGGCAUGACGUAACGUACAACUCUGAGGGGGCACUGGUGGUUAAAUAAUGUACACUCUUAGAAAAAAAGGGUUCCAAAAGGGUUCUUCGGCUGUCCCCAUAGGAGAACUCUUUUGGGUUCCACGUAGAACCCUCCAAUGGGGACAGUCGAAGAACCCUUAUAUGCUCUAGGUAGCAGCUUUUUUUUCUGGAGAGUUUAUGAAGGUGAAAUGAGGUAUGAAGGUACUCUGAAGGUGAAAUAAGGUAUGAAGGUACUCUUUACAGUUACUGUAACCAGUGCUUGAAGAGGACGGCAGAAGGUGGCGGUACUGACUUUAAUUCUACCGUUUGAGCCGGGAUUCUGUAAGAGUUUCCAUUAUUCAGACAGUAUGACGAGACUUGAAGACUCAGGUUAGCUCCGCAUGGCUAAUGCCCUAGGCUUUAGUUUCAGGGGCUAACACAGUCUUGGGACGAUGUACAGUGCCCCCUCAGUGGGAAGGUGUGUGGUGUCUCGGGGAGUCAGAACAAUAGUUGCCUUAAUUUGUCGUUUAUACUGCCUAAUGUUAUAGAUUAAGACGUGUUUGAUAUCAUAUCUGUUUGGUUUCUUUCUGCCAAAGUCGAGGCUUGUGUCAUACCAUUUUACUUUGUGUGUGUGUGUGUGUGUGUGUGACACACACACGUUCCUUUCAAUGUAAUCUACGUUCUCAAGGGUUCCUUGAUGUUCCCUCUGUGACCACACAGCAUUAUUAUUCCUGUCACAUUAUUAUCCUCUCAAAAAGGAAAGACAUAACUUGAUCUGUGAUUUACGCUUCUUUCAUAUUUUUGUUUUUAUGUUGAUUUUUUUUGUGAAGCUAAAUGUAUUAAAUGUUCUGUUGUUAAAUAUACUACCCCUUUAUUGAGUUUUAACACGCUGAUUUCACACUGAAAAAGGUCAAAAAGACUACAACAAUCAAAUCGGGAUGUCAGUCAGACCGAUGAGGAUGAGGAAUACUUUUCCCAGCUUGUCGUCGUAUAAAGAGCCUUAGUGAUUAUUUUGUGUCCAGUGUUUUUGCUUAGAAUUGAUAGUCAGUGCAGAGUUAUUAUACGUAUAAGAGAUGUAGUAUUGACGCUAAAAUGAGGCAAGUACAACUAACAGAUUAUAUGGAGCACUUUUAAAGCGGUAGACCCUUAGCCCACAGAGUAAGUGUCUGUCCUGCGAGAACCGUGAUGCUUUUCAUCAGACAUCUUCUUGUUUUGAUACCAGACACCCACAGCUGCCCGCCGGGCACUCUGUUACAUUGGCAUUACCAUGUCGUCUGGAGUUUUGACUACGUCAUUGUUGUGACUGAGUCGUCUGGCAAUGUUGGGUCAUUUGGUGUUGCUGUGUCAUACAGCGUUACUCUGUCAUCUGACGUGACUUUGUCAUGUUAUGUCCAUCUUUCCUGUCCACCUGUCUUAGUUAGAAAAAAGACUGUUGAUAUGUCCUGUUGUGUUAACUCUCCC